UUAAUACCGAAUGCUCCGUCUGGCUCUCGAGCCGGCCGGAAAAGGUAGCUUCGGCCUCCGGUCAGGGACGAGCCCGCGGCGGAUUAGCUUGUUGGUGGGGUAAAGGCCCACCAAGGCGACGAUCCGUAGCUGGUCUGAGAGGACGAUCAGCCACACUGGGACUGAGACACGGCCCAGACUCCUACGGGAGGCAGCAGUGGGGAAUCUUGCGCAAUGGGCGAAAGCCUGACGCAGCGACGCCGCGUGAGGGAAGAAGGCCUUCGGGUUGUAAACCUCUUUCAGGAGGGACGAAGCCACUCAGGUUAAUAGCCGAGAGGGUGACGGUACCUCCAGAAGAAGCCCCGGCUAACUACGUGCCAGCAGCCGCGGUAAUACGUAGGGGGCAAGCGUUGUCCGGAUUUAUUGGGCGUAAAGAGCGUGUAGGCGGCCAUACAGGUCAGCUGUGAAAACUCGAGGCUCAACCUCGAGACGUCGGUUGAAACCGUAUGGCUAGAGUCCGGAAGAGGAGAGUGGAAUUCCCGGUGUAGCGGUGAAAUGCGCAGAUAUCGGGAAGAACACCCGUGGCGAAGGCGGCUCUCUGGGACGGUACUGACGCUGAGACGCGAAAGCGUGGGGAGCGAACA
rnacentral:rRNA from 1 species